UACGGAGGGUGCAAGCGUUGCUCGGAAUUACUGGGCGUAAAGCGCACGUAGGUGGGUUCGUAAGUCGAUUGUGAAAGCCCAGGGCUUAACCUUGGAAUUGCAGUCGAAACUGCGAGCCUUGAAUGCCUGAGAGGGUGGGGGAAUUCCCGGUGUAGAUGUGAAAUUCGUAGAUAUCGGGAGGAACACCAGAGACGAAGGUGCCUGCCUGGCGGUGCAUUGACGCUGAGGUGCGAAAGCGUGGGGAGCAAACAGG
rnacentral:rRNA from 1 species